rnacentral:rRNA from 1 species
AUUGAACGCUGGCGGCAGGCCUAACACAUGCAAGUCGAGCGGAUGAAGGGAGCUUGCUCCUGGAUUCAGCGGCGGACGGGUGAGUAAUGCCUAGGAAUCUGCCUGGUAGUGGGGGAUAACGUCCGGAAACGGGCGCUAAUACCGCAUACGUCCUGAGGGAGAAAGUGGGGGAUCUUCGGACCUCACGCUAUCAGAUGAGCCUAGGUCGGAUUAGCUAGUUGGUGGGGUAAAGGCCUACCAAGGCGACGAUCCGUAACUGGUCUGAGAGGAUGAUCAGUCACACUGGAACUUAGACACGGUCCAGACUCCUACGGGAGGCAGCAGUGGGGAAUAUUGGACAAUGGGCGAAAGCCUGAUCCAGCCAUGCCGCGUGUGUGAAGAAGGUCUUCGGAUUGUAAAGCACUUUAAGUUGGGGGGAAGGGCAGUAAGUUAAUACCUUGCUGUUUUGACGUUACCAACAGAAUAAGCACCGGCUAACUUCGUG